UACGUAGGGUGCAAGCGUUGUCCGGAAUUAUUGGGCGUAAAGAGCUCGUAGGCGGUCUGUCGCGUCGGCUGUGAAAACUCGGGGCUCAACCCCGAGCCUGCAGUCGAUACGGGCAGACUAGAGUGCUGUAGGGGAGACUGGAAUUCCUGGUGUAGCGGUGAAAUGCGCGGAUAUCAGGAGGAACACCGGUGGCGAAGGCGGGUCUCUGGGCAGUAACUGACGCUGAGGAGCGAAAGCGUGGGGAGCAAACAGG
rnacentral:rRNA from 1 species